UUUGAAAAACCAGUUCCCGUACGAUCACCGAAGUUAAGAAACAUCGGACCUGGUCAGUAUCUAGAUGGGUAACCGUUUGGAAAUAUCAGAUGC